AUAUAUAUAUAUAUAUAUAGACCUAGGCUGGAAUACUAUCAAUAGCACUAAGCAUUUGGUGCUAUUAGGUUUUCCACCUUUGGAUUAAAAAAUAUACCGUUAGGAUAAUAUGGACUCCCUAGGAUUGAGAAGUUGUUGGUUUAAUAUUAUAAUAAUCUAACGAGUGAAAAUAGUUAAAGGGUUAAAUCUAACGGCAUAAAAUUUGAUAGCACCAAAUGCAUGGUGCUAUCGAUAGUAUCCCAGUCGGACUCAUAUAUAAUUGGGCUGAAAUUCUAUUAAUAGUAUCUAGGCUAUUUUACUAUCGAAUUUUUAGUCGUUAGAUAAAAAAUUGUAGGAUUGGAAUGAUAUUGGUCUUCCAGAAUUUAAUAAUUAUUUUUUUUAAAUUUGAGUGGGUGGUUGGUUGAAUAGUAUGAUUUAAAAAAUAAAAUUGAUUAAAAUAUAAAUCUAACGACUAAAAAAUUGAGAAUAAAAAAUAAUUAAAUAUUAUUAAUGGUAUUUUAUU
rnacentral:lncRNA from 1 species